rnacentral:rRNA from 1 species
AACGAACGCUGGCGGCAUGCCUAACACAUGCAAGUCGAACGAGACCUUCGGGUCUAGUGGCGCACGGGUGCGUAACGCGUGGGAACCUGCCCUUAGGUUCGGAAUAACUCCCCGAAAGGGGUGCUAAUACCGGAUAAUGUCUUCGGACCAAAGAUUUAUCGCCUUUGGAUGGGCCCGCGUUGGAUUAGCUAGUUGGUGGGGUAAAAGCCUACCAAGGCGACGAUCCAUAGCUGGUCUGAGAGGAUGAUCAGCCACACUGGGACUGAGACACGGCCCAGACUCCUACGGGAGGCAGCAGUGGGGAAUAUUGGACAAUGGGCGAAAGCCUGAUCCAGCAAUGCCGCGUGAGUGAUGAAGGCCUUAGGGUUGUAAAGCUCUUUUACCCGGGAUGAUAAUGACAGUACCGGGAGAAUGAGCUCCGGCUAACUCCGUG